rnacentral:rRNA from 1 species
UGGGGAAUAUUGCACAAUGGGGGAAACCCUGAUGCAGCGACGCCGCGUGAACGAAGAAGGUAUUCGUAUCGUAAAGUUCUGUCCUAUGGGAAGAUAAUGACAGUACCAUAGAAGAAAGCUCCGGCUAAAUACGUGCCAGCAGCCGCGGUAAUACGUAUGGAGCGAGCGUUGUCCGGAAUUAUUGGGCGUAAAGGGUACGCAGGCGGUUUAAUAAGUCGAAUGUUAAAGAUCGGGGCUCAACCCCGCAAAGCAUUGGAAACUGAUAAACUUGAGUAGUGGAGAGGAAAGUGGAAGUCCUAGUGUAGUGGUGAAAUACGUAGAUAAUAGGAAGAAUACCAGUAGCGAAGGCGACUUUCUGGACACAAACUGACGCUGAGGUACGAAAGCGUGGGGAGCAAACAGG